CGCACACAUUAAUAAAUGGCAGAAAACAGAGAAUACUGGGAGUACAUGUCUAAACACCAAUCAGAUCUUCUUCCUUUUUUUUCUAAUGAUAGUGGUGCUUGGCCAGCUUGUGUGCGCCUCGACAAUUCCACUAUACUUUCCAUCUCCCACCCGCACAGGUAAUGGAUAAAUCUACCCACUAAGGGUUAGGAAGAUACGAAGAAAUCACCUAGUAUUUUUUCCUACAUUGGAGUUGGGGUUGGGAUUUGACAUGAUACCUCAUAG
rnacentral:misc_RNA from 1 species